rnacentral:rRNA from 1 species
CUAUACAUGCAAGUUGAACGCUUCUUUCUUAUCGAACUUCGGUUCACCAAGAAAGAAGAGUAGCGAACGGGUGAGUAACACGUGGGUAACCUGCCCAUCAGCGGGGGAUAACACUUGGAAACAGGUGCUAAUACCGCAUAAUACUUUUUCUCUCAUGAGUGUAAGUUGAAAGGCGCUUUUGCGUCACUGAUGGAUGGACCCGCGGUGCAUUAGCUAGUUGGUAGGGUAACGGCCUACCAAGGCAAUGAUGCAUAGCCGAGUUGAGAGACUGAUCGGCCACAAUGGAACUGAGACACGGUCCAUACUCCUACGGGAGGCAGCAGUAGGGAAUCUUCCACAAUGGGCGCAAGCCUGAUGGAGCAACACCGCGUGAGUGAAGAAGGGUUUCGGCUCGUAAAACUCUGUUGUUGAAGAAGAACGUGCAUGAGAGUAACUGUUCAUGCAGUGACGGUAUUCAACCAGAAAGUCACGGCUAACUAC